CUUUUAUCAGAGGUAGACAGAUUACAUCCCGAAUGUGUUCAUAUCUUUGUCGUGAAAAUCAUCGUCCAAGAAUAUCUAAAUAGAGCCGGUCUGGAAGAUUGUCCUGUCCUUAAAGAUGCAUGUGGACAUGACUAUGCUAGCAAUAUCGCAUAUGGAAAAGAGUUAGAUGAGUCACAUGAACACAUAGUUCCAUUUUUGGACAACAAGUAUGUUGUGCGUGUUGACGGAAGUUACUCCGUUUUACGGACAAAUUUCGGUACAUUAAAGUGUCUAACUUGCAAAAAUGGUAACAGCUGCAAACACACGCAAUUUGUAAAUAAACUGCUGAACCAAUCAGUAGAAGAUAUGUCUGAAUGCGUGCAUAAAAUUCAUUGUGAAAUUCAUAUUAUGAGCAACAAAAAUAAUUACGAACUCAAGUGCUUUUCCUCUCAUAAGAUCCCCUUUAUAUUGGAUAAUUGCGCCAUAAAUAACCGAUCUUCCGAUCUGUAUCCAAUAAAUGAUGGUAUUCGUCAAGUGUUACCAAGGCAUCAAAAGAAAUGUAUGAUUUGCCAAAAUUUACAAUUUGAACUCAAACCAGUGGAACAUGUGUCUACAUUCCUUUCGAAGUACGAGUGUGUCCCUGUUCAAGUGUACGAGAGGAUAUGCGUGGCAACCGGUUGCAGUUCCGUUACAUGUUAUGAUGGGCAACAAGACUGUGUGCUGAACAUGGGGCGAUUUCUCAUCCACUACGAAGUGCUGAGGGAUUUCAUGUUUCAGUAUCUGUAUUCGAGAUCAACAAUGUUCUCCUUUUACAACGUCUGGCUGCAACAUCAAUCCGAUAACGGGAACACGCAAUUUGCCCGAAUAUUCUCGUACAUGUACUUUCGACAGACGUGGUUCGCUUAUCUGCAGUUGAUGGACAUUGACUUUGAAGCGGAUUUUACGUGUCGUGAAUGUGGUCCAUCACCGGUCACCAUGCUUUUUGAUGGCACAUGCCUGUCUUUUAAAAAAAACUUUUUAUGUAGCGAUGAGGACAUACUUCUGGAAAAGCAGACUUCCAAACUUUCUGGCAGAUAUGUAUAAUGUUUUUGUUUUUAAAUAUAUAAAGUGUUUCUAUUCAAGAUGUUAAUAACAUUGUGAAAAUAUACGUCAAAUGUAUGCUAACAUUUAUUAUCCACAUCAAAGAAUGUUUUCAAAUGCUGUUUGUCGUUGAUGGGUCACUAGAUCGGUCGGUUUGUAUGUACGCUCACUAAGCCCUCUUCAUCAUAACCUUCAAACAAUAAUGAAUAGGUUCAUAAAAUACAGGCAAAGUACUCUACUAAGUGUAUGGAGAUACUCGCGUCUGUUUCCUUGGAAAUAACCGAGAACUUAC